AAGGCAGAGAAUCUGGAUUAUCUUGUGAAAUUGGUGAAGGAAGGAAAGCUGAGGACAGUGAUCGACUCCAAAUAUCCUCUGAGCAAGGCUGAAGAAGCUUGGGCUAAGAGUAUUGAAGGCCAUGCUACGGGGAAGAUCAUUGUGGAGCCUUAAAAUGCUUAUAUAGUAGGUUUGUGAUGUACUGAUGUUAACUUCAUGUUCUUACGUGUUAUACUGCUAUAGAAUAUGGGAUUCGAUAUAUGUGGAUUUUGUUGUAAAUGACGUGUUAUACAUAUUCAUUUUUCUUUUUUUUUUUGGAAGAUUGGGGUAUGUUGCAUGUGAACUCAUCAUUAUAUGCAAAUACUAAUUGAAAUAGAUUUCGACUUAAUAGGAGCAGUAUGUUAUUACUAGUCCUAAUUACUUGUGGAAUGAUGUAUAUGUGAUCCAUAAGAGUUUAGGAGUCCAUUAGCAACAAAUAUGUGUUGGUGAUGCAUAAGGAAAACCUUAUACGAGUUAACCUUGGAUUGCUAAGUUGUGUCGUUGUGGGAGAUCACUUGGUGUCGUUGUAACUAUAAAUAAGGAGCUUUGUCUCUGCUCUCUACAACAAGACCUUCAAACCAUCCCAUCUAUGGUGUUUAAAGCUAGCAGAGAGGAGAUUCUGAAAUUUUUUAUUCCACUAGAAUCAAUGAGAAAACUACAACCAAAUUUGACCAAAAAAACUAACUGAAAGCAUAUUCCAUCUAAUAGAAGGUACAAAAAAGACGUCAUACAUAACUAAAAAUUUCCGAAACCUAAAUCCAAUCUAAAGGGUCCUACAGCCUUCACUGCUACCCUCAUUUCAUUUCCAACAUAGACAUUGAGCUCAAAGGAGGAGAAAAUUAACCAAGGAAUGAAGAGCUCAACGUCUGCGUUGGGAAUGGAAUGAGGGUAGCAGUGAAGGUUGUAGGACCCCUUAGAUUGGAUUUAGGUCUCCACAAAUUUUAGUUUUGGAUGAUGUCUUUUUUGUACCUUCUAUUAGGAGGAAUUUGCUUUCAGUCAGUCUUUUGGUCAAACUUGGUUGCAAUUUUCUUAUUGAUUCUAGUGGAAUAAAAUUUUUCAUAAAUUCUCUCCUCUUUACUAGCAAGGUCGGUCCUGGCCCAGUGCACCUAGUGCGAUAGCACUAGGCCUUAGACAAAAAGGGCACAAAACAGGCCUUAAUUACGUUUCAGUUCUCCUAAUCUUUGCCAAAUUCUGCUUCAGUUCUCUAUGUAUGUAUAAUUAAGUCUGUGUCUUUUAUGGAUUGAGAUGUGGGAACCAGUAACACAGCAGGAGGCUAACGUUUUUAUUAAAAAAAUUAGUGGCCGACAUGUUUGCUAUUUGUAGCGUCUCACUAUUUCUUUCUAUUAAAAUAACUUUUUUGCAUAGAUUAGAAAUUUAGAACAACUCUGUCAUUCACUCUUAAAAAAAGAAAAUCUUUUAUCCUUAUCAAAUGAGAAUACAAUAAAUUUUACAUAUAUAUAUAUAUAUAUUUACAUAAUUAAGAGAAAACAUUAUUAAUAAGGGGCAAAAAAAAUAUAUAAGAUGUACUUCUUAUACCCAGUCUCAUUUGAUCUAGCAGCAUAGUCUCCUCUUAAUAGAUGAGAGGUUGUGAGUUCAAUUCAUGAAGUUGUAAUACGUGAUAAAUAAAAAAAAAGGGUUCUGUAUUACAAUAUCAAGAUUAAGAGUAUAUUAAUAGGUUCAAAACCAACAAAAAAGGGUAUUUUUAUGAUAAAAGUUUUAGCAUAAGGAACAAUUUUUUUUUCCACACCGGGCCUUCAAUUCUUCAGGACCGGCCCUGUUUACUAGCUUUAGACACCAUAGAUGGGAUGGUCUGAAGGUCUUGUUGUAGAGAGAGCAUGGAGAAAGCUCCCUCCUUAUUUAUAGAGUUACAAUGACACCAAGUGAUCUCCACAAAGACACAACCUGGUAAUCUAAAGUUAACUCGUAUAAGGUUUUCCUUGUGCAUCACCAACACAAAUAUUUGUUGCUAAUGGACUCCUUAACUCUUAUGGAUCAGGUAAACAUUAUUCCACAAGUAACUAGGACUAGUAAUAACAUAAUGCUUGUAAUACCCCCAUAAAUUUGCUAUUACUUUCUAAUAUUAUGGGGGAAUUUUCGAGGUAGAAGUUAGUGUGUUUUGAGGUUCGAAGGAAGAGCGGUUUGGAUGCAUAAUUUACCCGAAUCGGUUUUUAUGGUUUUGAAGGGUCAAGAGUUGACUUUCUAAUCUGUCGGGUUUCUCGAGAAACUUCCUUCACGAAAGUUGUAGAGCACAACGAUACGAGUUCGUGGACAUGUGGCACGCGUAAAACGGACUUCGUAUGAGAAAGUUAUGGUCAGCAGAAUUUCGUGGNNNNNNNNNNNNNNNNNNNNCUCUCUCUCUCUCUCUCUCUCUCUCUCUCUCUCUCUCUCUCUCUCUCUCUCUCUCUCUUUCUUCUCUCUCGCGAUACCUUCGGUAUCAAAGUCUUCCAGCCGACCCGACCCGACCCGAAUUCGGUGACUUGAUCCAGACUUUCCGGCGUCGUCCGACGUCGCCCAACCGCGCCACCAGUCUGAACCGACUCCUCUUCUCCUUGCCUUCGUCCUCCUCUAGCUGGUUCACACCGAUUCGGUUAUGAAGUAGUGACCCGAAGCUCGGAAGUUCGGCUUGGAGACCGGUCGGGAUUCUCACCUCCGGCUGGGGCAACAAGGCUAGAAACCGGUCGGGAUAGGAGCUCCUUGGCACCCUGGUUCGACUUCAGGUAGUCUUGAAGCUCGACUCACGAGGGAGAGUGGUGGUGGUGGAUUCCAACUUUCCGGCGAGCUUUCUGGUGUUUUUCGGCCGAUUCCGGCCGAACUGGUUGAACCUCCAGGUAUAAAAGAUGCUCACCAUGCUUCAAUCUACAAGUUUGUUGUUGGAAGUUUGUUGAGAUUUCGAAGUUGUUGGGGUGGCGUGUGGGGCCCACUCACCGCCGCCUGUAGUGGCGCGUUGGGCAGGGUGUGUAGGUUCAGUUGCUUUGUUUAGCUAGUUCUUGUUGUUGUGAGCAUGUUGAUAUAUUAUGCGAUUAGGUCAAGUUUGAGUAAGUUUUCUUGUUAGAUUCUAUGUUAUUGUAGACUUGUGCGAAGUGUUGAGCUAGGAGAAUCCAAAGUUAGGCAGCGGGGGAAGAUGGUUAAGUGUUCGAUGAUCUUGGGAGGUCUCGAAAAAAGGUUGUUCUUUUUUGGGCAAAUCAUGGGUUAAGGUUUGUUAAGGGUGAAAUGUUCUUUUUGUUUAAGUGGUUAUUAAGUUAUUAAUUGUGUAAUUAUAGGUAGCUUGUGGAGUUGAUAUUUAAGCUUGGCUCUUUUGUUGUGUUGAAGACGUAGCGGGAUUAUUUAGGUGAGUAAAAUCUCACCAAGGUCCACUUUGUGACCUAUUUAUUUAUGAUGAUUAUGAUGAUGAUAAUGUUCAUGAAAAUGUUGAUGAUUAUGAUGAUGAUAAUGAUUUAAAAAAAAUUAUGUUUCCUUUUUUGUUUGUUCUAAAAUAUAUGAGCUUGAUCGCCAACGGCUCAUAGGUAAGAGAAAACAAGUUUUUCUUUUUAAAUGAUUAUUUUUAAGGUUCUAGUGACUAUAAUAUCUUUAGUUCUUGGUAGAUUAUUCUUGUGAGAAAAUCUGUGUGUGUGUAUAUAUAUCUCUUUGUGAAAAGGUAUAUUAUAGUGAAGUGUCGCUUGUCUGGUUUUAUUGAUGUGGUUAUUUGUGUAUUAGUUGUGGAUGUGUGCAUUAGAUUAGGAGCCUUCGUGGUGGACCGGGAACAAAGCCUUGGCCGGAUGAUUGGUUACGGUCAGUAUAGAGCUUUACUCUGUCGGUACUUCAUGGGGGAUGACUAUGUGUUGACAAACCCAUGAGUACGUGUUUGUCUAGUUACUUAUGAGGGAUAACUAUGCGUUGACGAACUCAUAAGUAAAGGUUGAGAAAUGAUUGUGUGAUGUUCGUAUAUGUUGUCAUAUAAAUUUUUUGCUUUGAGUAUCUCCUGAACUAAGCUUAUCCGCAGGAGAUUCUCUAAUUUGAUCGUGUGAUUUUAAUGGAAUCCCUUAACUAUACUUUUUGCAGGAUUUCAUUUAUGAUUUGAUUGAUUUUGAAUUGUUGUGUUCUCUUAAUUAUUUCUUUUGAAUUCUCUUGCUUUUGGGGAUUCCUGAACUAAAUUAUUAAGGCAAGAAUUUCCAGUUUUAUCUUAUGUGUUGUUGGAAUGGUUGAGUUUUAUUUUGAGAGUUACUCAUACUAGAUUUUUAAGCUUACCAGGUUUGUUGUUUACAACCCGGUGCACCAAUUCAUGGUGUAGGGGUUAGACCUGUAGGUGAUAAUCAACAGGGUUGAGGCAAUGGCUUAGGAGCUGGGUUUUAGGCGAUGUACUUUUUUUUAUAUCAUGGCAGUUGUUUUUAAGCUCAUGUGAGCGAUUUUUUAUUACUUGACUUUUGAAGUUGUUAUAAUUAAGGAGAUAUAAUGUUUAACUCAGUUGUUGAGUUUGUUGACAUUUACAUUUCCAGUAUUUGAUUAUAGUUUGAAAGUUGUUGAGCAGGUUUUGGGAUAAUAAGAUUUUAAGAUAUAUCAUGCCAAAUUUUUGAAAAUUUAUCCUUCAAAAAUUUCAAAAAUUGUAAAUUUUCAAAAAUAGGGUGUGACAAUGCUCUUAUUAAGUCGAAAUCUGUUUCAAUUAGUAUUUGCAUAUAAUGAUGAGUUCACAUUAUGGUUCUAAAAGGAAGAUCCUUGUUGCGAACCAUUUCAGUUAUCCAUUUCAAUAGGAUGUGUGUUAGAAAUUAUAUAUGCAGAUCAACCACAAUUACAGAAAUAUAAAUAUGAAUCUAAAACUUGAUAUAAAUAAGAUCAACUUUACUUUAUAUAUUAGAACAGCAGCAGCAGCACUUGAAACCAAAUUGCUUUGAAUACAAAAUACUGACCUGAUUGAUGAUAGAGGCUUGCUUGCAGCAAUCUCCUACGACAGAAUUUCGCCCCUACUGUAGUGCACGUAGCUUCUAGGACGUCUAUUUUGCAGGAUACAACUAUCGAAUUGACACGACCCGCCUCAAAUUUCACCCAGAAACCCAGAGUAAGUCGUACGGGGACCACCUUCAAGGAAAAUUUACAAAAAAAUCGGCAUAACCUCUCUUGAAAAUGGACAACCCUUCCUAAUAAUACCUGCAAACACUUCUGAAAAUUUAAAUCCAACCUUAAACUCCUGGAGCCUCCGUGCUCCCCAAAACACAACACCACCCAAAUUAUUUACUAAUCUAAACAAAUCUCAUAUCCAACCAUUAUUAGGUUCAGAGCAACUCUAACAGGAAAAAAAGAAACAUAAUAAAUUAACAAACGGAAGCUAUAUGAUGACUAUGCCUCAUCCCCAUGUACGCCCGACCUCAACUAUGCAAUCCUGCAAACUGGGCAUUUUUAAAACGAAGAGCCCAAGAGAAAACAUUUGAAACACGUUAGAGUGAGUGGACAAAAAUAAAUUAACGAAUAAAAUAUUUAUGUUUCCCCAAAUCAAUUUCCAAGGAAAAUCGAAUGCAUGCUGCAAGCGAUAAAACUUUUAUCUCAUAAAUGUCAAGCCUCUCAGGCUCUAUAAUAUAUGUAUGUAUUUACACACGUUCAUACUCCCUAUGUAAAUUCAUGGGUCUAUAUAGGGCUACUACGCUCGCGUCCAACGCUCACGUCACGCCUUAAUGCGGUGCUACACUACGCCAUUAAGGUGGACAGACGGGUGUAUAAAUAUGUGCCCAUACCCCCUGUAUGAAUUAAACACUCAUAUAGGGCUACUACGCUCGCGUCCAACGCUCACGUCACACCAUAAUUCGGCUAUAUGCUACGCCAUUAAGGUGGACAGACACAUAGGGCUAGCUAGCNNNNNNNNNNNNNNNNNNNNNNNNNNNNNNNNNNNNNNNNNNNNNNNNNNNNNNNNNNNNNNNNNNNNNNNNNNNNNNNNNNNNNNNNNNNNNNNNNNNNNNNNNNNNNNNNNNNNNNNNNNNNNNNNNNNNNNNNNNNNNNNNNNNNNNNNNNNNNNNNNNNNNNNNNNNNNNNNNNNNNNNNNNNNNNNNNNNNNNNNNNNNNNNNNNNNNNNNNNNNNNNNNNNNNNNNNNNNNNNNNNNNNNNNNNNNNNNNNNNNNNNNNNNNNNNNNNNNNNNNNNNNNNNNNNNNNNNNNNNNNNNNNNNNNNNNNNNNNNNNNNNNNNNNNNNNNNNNNNNNNNNNNNNNNNNNNNNGCGGCGCCGGCGCCGGCUCUGCCGGCAGCAGCGGCCGGAGGCCGAUUCCGGCGACCUCCAAAUCCUACCAAAUUUUAACAGUAGCUUCCUCUCCACUCCCUCUACAACUUUCCUAACUAGCACAAACCCAAAAUCCAAGCCUAACUAGGUCAAACGAGCAAAAACAUCUAAAACACCCUAAAACUUCCACCUCUAAUUUCUCCUUACUUGAAGCGAACCGGAGUGAGCCUUUUUAGGGCAAGGCAGCUGGGUUGGAGACCUUCAAAACCGUACCAAGCUUGCCCGGAUUGGUGGCCGGAGGAGGGAGUUCCGGCGAAGGAGGACUUUGGGCAGCCCGAGGUUCUAGGCGGGAGAACUCCUUCACGGCGGCGCUAGGGCAGCCUUCACCGGCCUAGAAUGGAAGCUGGGUCAGAGGGCAACCGAACGGGACCGGAGCGGCGGCCUACGGUGGCUGGACAGCGGCGAGCUGAGCGGAGGAAACCGGCGGGGGAGAGAGAGCUCGGGAGGGAGAGAGAGAAGAGAGAAAGAAAAGAGAGAAGAAGAAGAAAUAGGCUUGGGCCUCCUACCCGGUCCAAGUCCUAUAUACAACCCAAUUCCAAAAAUAAAACACCCCGAAAAAAUAAUACCUGAAUAAAAAUUACCUUUUACUAGCUAAAAUUUACCAUUUUUACUGUCGUCAUAUUUUUCGCCUACGAAUAAUUCCCCGAAAUUAAUCGUCCCUCAAAACACCUCUAGGGACCGAUUAAACUAUUAUCUCAAUGACGGAGACGGUAAAAUUCUUAUUAUAACCAAGCUAGUAAAUAAGGUAAAAAUUUAAGAGUCGGGAUGUGACAAUUCUCCCCUCCUUAUAAAAAUUUCGUCCUCGAAAUUUACAUACCUGACAAAUCAAAGAGAUAAGGAUACUACUGCCUCAUUUGCUCCUUUGAUUCCCAAGUAGCUUCUUCUACUUGGUGACUCCUCCACAGAAUUUAACAAGAGGAAAAGAUUUGCUUCUAAGCAGUUGCUCCCUCUGGUCUAAAAACUGAACUGGAUCCUCAUCAAAGGUCAAAUCUUUCUACAAAAUAAUCGGCUGCUCUUGCAACCCAUGAGAGGAAUCGGCAAUAUACUUGUGAAACAUGAAUACAUGGAACACAUUAUGUAUCCUGGAUAAUUCUGGAGGCAAAACUAACUGAAACGCAAGAGAGCCAACUUGAUCUAAAAACCCGUAAGGACUAAUAAAUCUUGGACCAAGCUUUGCACGUUACUAAAACGUACCACCCCUUUCCAAGGAGACAAUUUCGAAAACACCCAAAAUACUCACUUGAAACUCAUGGUCCUUCAUGCGAACAUCUUUAUAAAUCUACUGGCUACUAAGAGCUGCUUUAAGUCUACCUCAAACUCCUUUAACCUUUUCAUUUAAAUCCUGAAUUAUUUUAAAUCUUCUCAAAGACUCUAAAUCCUUCAUUGAACUGCCACUAACGUUUACACGUAAGUGAGUUCAGUGAUACCUAUUCCAGAGUACGAGUACCCGUAGGUAUGCACACUCUUUCCUGAGCAAUGGAAAUAGUUAACCCAAAUAAAGCGCAUAAAUUUUCUAUCACCAUCGGGCUCAAAUCUCCUAACGUCACGCGACAACCUCGUCAAUACGCUGCUCACAGCUCGACAAUGAAACCCACUUGCUAGGAAACUAAAGUUCACACAUUCCCACAUGCUCAUAGGGGUCAAAAUUAAGACCCGUUAAGUUAAGUGAACAGACUUUUAAGGAUGCACACACUGCAGAACUGCAACAAUCACUCCUACUACCGAGACACCUCGCAGAGUCUUUCGCGGAGCCAAAGCUCUCGCAAGUCCACAAGAUAACCUUGCUCUGCCUAAAUGACCAGUCCACCAACAAAUGAUAACUUCGAUUUUCGAGAUAACAUUAUGAAAAGAUCAAUAGCACGUCACUUAGGUCUCUCCACCAAAAUUAUUACAUUACCAUUUUAUGCACCACCAGACUAGCAGCUUAUGGGAAUUCCAACUCUCCUGAUUCUACUAUCUCCACUAUUCUCUUUACCACAAACCAGAAGAUAAUCGGAAUCAUGACUAUCAUGUGGAAACUAGGAAUUCCUCCAUGCUCGCCAUAAACAAAACUGACUAAUAAUGCCCACGAAAAAUUGGCACAGUCAAUUCAUGAUGAUAAACUUGACGUUGAAAUCCACAUAAAUAGAACACCUCCUUACCUCUAACAACAAUAAAUCUGAUAGCAGAAAACAAUCUGAAAAUCAGAUAUGCUCAAGUCUCCUACACAUCCCAGGCCACGACUUCCCACCAAAAAGAUUCUUCGAAAACUGAGCUUGCAAUAACUUAUGCGACUAACAAAAGCAAAGACAAAUUUUUAUACAAGACCCACUACUACACCUUGUGGUUCACCAACUAACGAAAACCAUGAAUUCAAGCAAGAAUCAAAACUCAUGGCUUAACUCAACUCAAGCUCCAAAAGAAAUAAUUUAAAGCACACGAAAAGCAAGUCCUCUAACUUCGAGCUCAAAAGCUCCACAGAUCUCCGAUAUUCGCCAGAACCCGCUUCGAAAUCGCACUAGAAACCUCCACUAAUCAUCCUAACACCAACAGAUAAACGCACAACCAAAAAGCAAAGACCUCCCAAACAAAAACUUGGAUCAAUGAGUGGUCCCACCACAAAACGAUCCUGAGAAGAGACGUUGAUCAACCUAUCAAUAAAUCUACUAUUCGCCAUAAUAAUCUCUUAAUAAACCUUGACUCGAAAAACUUCUUGAGUCAACAGGGGAAAACCUUCUCCCAUAAUGCUACAUCAUGAAAUAUACCUACAACGACACAAACCAUCAAAUCAACAUCACCAUGCAACUCUUAAACUACCACAUAGGAUUUACGGCACCAAGACUCAUCGCUUAAAUGAACUCCAGCUCACUUGGGAUCACCACUGGAUUUAUUCCGGAACCAUGACUACGACACAACUACCAAAUAUCAUUUACCUCGAAACUUCGACAAAAUAACCAGAAUUUCUACCCUUCAAAUCGAAGCGUUGAAUCCGCAUUCCAAAAUUUCAAGCUCUGAGGAUACUACCUAAAAACUACAGUAGGAAUAAUUUAAAUAUUCCCACACACACCACAACCAAAACUUUACUCCAUCUCACCGAAUUAGAAAUAAGGUGAGAACAGAUUUGCCGCCUGUAGUCACCCAUUGUGAACGAAAUGAUGUCAAAACCAACUUCGAUCACAAAUUUGAGACUUACAUCAUCCACCCGGAAUGACAUUGCUUAAAAAAUACUUUGGACACCCACGCACUCUUGCUUUAUGAUCUAGUGGGUUCUAUUCUACCGCUGCCACUUCCACCAAUUUCAUGCAUCUACCUUAGAAUUUAUAAAACAAAAACUCAUGACAACACCUAUUUAAAAUUUCACCAUGUGUUGUCGUAAAACUGGAGUGACCACAACCAUCCCGCUCUCACUCCACCAUUACUUUUCGAUUCCAUUACAUUAUCAUCUUCCCAAACACUCAACAAAUUUGGAAACCAAACUUCAACACCUGGAAUUCCAAAAGAAUCCAUACUGGCCCCACGAUUAAAAUAAUAUAACCGACAACUCACUCCAUAAUUCCAAACUUGCUUGAAACUCAACAUUUAAUGCCAUCAAUAAAAUUAUAAAAUUCCCCAACUGUGGCACAACAAGAAGUUGUCACAACGCACUGACGAAUGACUUUUGUAAAACCAACAAUCCAAGUCAUUCUACUUAGUGUUUUAACAAACUUCAACUAACCCACAAUAGAGACCAAAAUCAUCAGAAAACUUACUAUUCAUCGACUACUAACAUCCAUCAUUUUCAAAAUAUAUUACCACUACCAUCUAGAUAAAAUGCUCUAAGGAUAGAAACAUAUCCAUAAUUAGCACUGCAGAAACCAGAACAUAUACCGCCAUAACCAAAAUUAUCCCAACAUGUUCCCAAUUGAUUUAUGUUGCAGAUAAAAUUGUCGGCAAAAUGGCUUUCAAUCAAGACUUAUCUAAAUUGACAUUUAGCUCUUUAUGCAGCAAUACCUUACCAUCCAAUCACUAGCCACAAAUUUCCUAAAACCUUGAUUAACCCAAGACUAGGGUCCUCAACAACUCAUAUAGGUACCCCUUUGAAUUACCAUUGGAUACCUCACCUCAUCAUUUCAACUAACUUUUUCAUCAAUAGAAUACACCACUACUUCGAACUUUCCUUCCAACUCAACUCUCUCAAAAGUCACGUAACUCAAUACGAAAAUCUCCCAUCUAUCAAUUUUGACUCCAAUCUUGCCCACAAAAAAAUGGACAACUCCAAGGCAUUAAUCAUCAACAUUUCACCCAACAGAUUUGCACAAGAUGCUCACCUUAGCAUCUUAAUCUGAAACCCUAAUCUUAAUUAACCCAAUCAAUCAUUGGAUACCUGAAAGGAAUGCUAACAAGCUUUUUCGUUCCCCACUCGCAAAACAACUCCAACAAUUAAUAUCAAAAAUAUUAAAUUAAUGAACCUUGGAAUAGGUGCAAACUAUACACCUUUUCAAAACUCGAAGGAUGAACACUCAAGAGGUCGGCGUACGGAGGCAUAGUCUUAGAGAUGUAGACAUUUAUGGCACACUACUGUCCAUAAAUAAAAGAAGAACAACUACAUCACAAACCUAAUCAACACAUAGUGUCUAAAGCAUAUAAUGCUAAUAGAUCCGCCGCGGUCGGACCAUCACUCUAUAGACACUAAGCAUGACCAAGAAUAUGAGAUAGUACUAAAAAGAGAAAGGAAACGAAUAACCUAGUGCUCUGAUACCAACUGACACGACCCACCCCAAAUUUCACCCUGAAACCCAGAAUAAGUCGUGCGGGGACCACCUCCAAGGAAAAUUUACCGAAAAAUCGGCAUAACCUCCCUUGAAAAUGGACAACCCUUCCUAAUAAUACCUGCAAACACUUCUGAAAAUUUAAAUCCAACCUUAAACUCCUGGAGUCUCCGUGCUCCCCAAAACACAACACCACCCAAAUUAUUUACUAAUCUAAACAAAUCUCAUAUCCAACCAUUAUUAGGUUCAGGGCAACUCUAACAGGAAAAAAAGGAAACAUAAUAAAUUAACAAACGGAAGCUAUAUGAUGACUAUGUCUCAUCCCCAUGUACGCCCGACCUCAACUAUGCAAUCCUGCAAACUGGGCAUUUUUAAAACGAAGAGCCCAGGGGAAAACAUUUGAAACACGUUAGAGUGAGUGGACAAAAAUAAAUUAACGAAUAAAAUAUUUAUGUUUCCCCAAAUCAAUUUCCAAGGAAAAUCGAAUGCAUGCUGCAAGCGAUAAAACUUUUAUCUCAUAAAUGUCGAGCCUCUCAGGCUCUAUAAUAUAUGUAUCUAUUUACACACGUUCAUACUCCCUAUAUAAAUUCAUGGGUCUAUAUAGGGCUACUACGCUCGCGUCCAACGCUCACGUCACGCCUUAAUGCGGUGCUACACUACGCCAUUAAGGUGGACAGACGGGUGUAUAAAUAUGUGCCCAUACCCCCUGUAUGAAUUAACCACUCAUAUAGGGCUACUACGCUUCGCGUCCAACGCUCACGUCACACCAUAAUGCGGCUAUAUGCUACGCCAUUAAGGUGGACAGACACAUAGGGCUAGCUAGCAUUUUUAUACAUACUCUCCUCAUAAAUACAUAUUUAUAUUCACCGAAAAUCCCAUUUUCGGUAACUCUCCAAGAGAAAUAAAAUCGUCAAAAUAAAAUGACGUCAAAAUGCUCCACAACAUUAAUUGUUCAUCUAUGAACUAUAGCAUGCAUUUUAUUUAAAACAAAAGUCCACUCAUAACUCUAGGCAUAAGCCCGACGAAAUCCAAAUCGCCACUCCAAUGAGGUUUCCUCGAAACCUGGCACAAAUUUAAAAAUUAAUUCCCAACUAAAACUCCAAUAUUUAAACAAAAUAGGCAAAAUUAACCGAGAGCCAUAGCUACGCUCAUCAUUGCCUAACUUCGAUAUUCUUAAAUCGAAACGAUCCGAACUUAAAUAUUAUACUCGGCAGCCGUAAUUACAACCUCCCCAAAAAUACGACUUAAAUCCUACGGCCGGAUUCUACAUUAAUUAACCGCCAAAAAUACCACACUUCGGAAAUUCAUAAACCUAUCCAAAACUCAUCCAAAAAUUCCAUAACUCACUUCAACAAACUCCCCUUAAUAUUCUAAAUUUAAAGCCCUAAAAAUCUUCCAAACAGUGGCGGCGCCGGCGGAGGCUCUGCCAGCAGCAGCGGCCGGAGGCCGAUUCCGGCGACCUCCAAAUCCUAUCAAAUUUUAACAGUAGCUUCCUCUCCACUCCCUCUACAACUUUCCUAACUAGCACAAACCCAAAAUCCAAGCCUAACUAGGUCAAACGAGCAAAAACAUCUAAAACACCCUAGAACUUCCACCUCUAAUUUCUCAUUACCUGAAGCGAACCGGAGUGAGCCCUUUUAGGGCAAGGCAGCUGGGUUGGAGACCUUCAAAACUGUACCAAGCUUGCCCGGAUUGGUGGCCAGAGGAGGGAGUUCCGGCGAAGGAGGACUUUGGGCAGCCCGAGGUUCUAGGCGGGAGAACUCCUUCACGGCGGCGCUAGGGCAGCCUUCACCGGCCUAGAAUGGAAGCUGGGUCGGAGGGCAACCGAAUGGGACCGGAGCGGCGGCCUACGGUGGCCGGACGGCGGCGAGCUGAGCGGAGGAAACCGGCGGGGGAGAGAGAGAAGAGAGAAAGAAAAGAGAGAAGAAGAAGAAAUAGGCUUGGGCCUCCUACCCGGUCCAAGUCCUAUAUACAACCCAAUUCCAAAAAUAAAACACCCCGAAAAAAUAAUACCCGAAUAAAAAUUACCUUUUACUAGCUAAAAUUUACCAUUUUUACCGUUGUCAUGUUUUUCUCCUACGAAUAAUUCCCCGAAAUUAAUCGUCCCUCAAAACACCUCUAGGGACCGAUUAAACUAUUACCUCAAUGACGGAGACGGUAAAAUUCUUAUUAUAACCAAGCUAGUAAAUAAGGUAAAAAUUUAAGGGUCGGGAUGUGACACGAAUUCUGUUUAUGCACUUCAACAGAAUUCCUGGCAAACUGUAUUUUGUGUUUCUUAAAAAAUAUUAAGGGAAGAAGAGAAGGAUUUUUAUUCUUUUGAUUUUUCUGGUUUGAUCGUCUCUUAUAGACUACGAAUUGAACAAUUGCAAUGCUUCGGUAGAACUAAAACGUUGCAAUGGUUUGUUCAAAACCAGACUCUUCCAACAGACAUAUCUGUUGCAAAAUAGAAUCCAGAUAAAAGGAAAAACAGUUUUCUGAUUUUUAUUUAUAAGACCCCAAGGCCCAUAUAUAAAUAAUUAUAUAUAUACACACACACACACACUCAAAGCCUAUUAACACAUAUGUCAAGUGAAUACAUAUAAAGGCUAACAUCAAAACUAUUUUUCCAAUGUGGGAGUCUCCCACAUUCUUCAACAAUGUCAAGAAAAUAAGCCUUUAAAAUUUUCGGAGAAAGUAGAAUCAAUAUGCAUCGGAAAAUGUGUCUUUUGGACUUGAACCUUUCCUAGUAACAACUUAUCGGUAUUACUUAGUGAGGUAGUGAUAAAUUUCAUCUCGAACUGAUCACCAUUUGGUAGUAAUACGAAACAAUAAGCGGAACACAUAUGUCAUCUUCACAUUUCCAGUUUAUACGGUUGUGUUCAUUUUGGUCCUGAAAAAAUCCCGACUUCAUGAGAGCUCUAGAGAAUUUAACCAUAUCAAUUCUCAUGGAUACGACCCACAUCACUCUCAUAUAGGUAAUGCUAAUUAAGGAUAGUCCGUUCUAUCCCACUUUAAGAAAAGCUAUUAGCAUAAUUAAGAAUAAAUUAUUCAUCCCUUAAUCAUCAACGGAAACACACUUUGAAUCGUCAUUGGAAUAGGCGAAUGUGUGUUAUGUAACGUGAGUCUUCCUCAACUAGUUUGCCUAUUGAACCUAGACCAUGGGAUCUCCAAUGUUGCUAGGUUAGGUUUCCGCCAAGUAAUGAUUCAUUGUGUUGGCUUGAGACUCAUUCCCCUCGAUGUAAAUACGAUUUGCUCUUUAGGUAGGCCUUUAGUCAAAGGAUCAGCCAAGUUUUCCUUUGAUUUAAUAUAAUCCAAUGCUAUAACGCUAUUGGAGAGUAAUUGUCGUAUUGUAGCAUGUCGUCGCCUAAUAUGCCUUGACUUACCAUUAUACAUUGUGUUUUUGCCUCUAUUUAGGGAAGCCAUACUAUCACAAUGGAUACAUAGAGCCGUUAAUGGCUUAGGCCAUAAUGGAAUAUCUUCAAUGAAAUUUCGAAGCCACUCGGCUUCUUCGGCAGCUUUAUCCAAGGCUAUAAAUUCUUAUUCCAUUGUAGAACGUGUUAUGCAUGUAUGUUUAGAUGACUUCCAAGACACGGCACCUCCAUUAAGUGUAAAAACAUAACCACUUGUGGAUUUACUAUCCGUGCUUCUGGAGAUCCAAUUGGCAUCGCUAUAUCCUUCCAAAACAUGAGGAUAUUUUGUGUAAUGAAGACCAUAAUUAAUUGUAUGCUUUAAGUAUCUUAAUACUCUAAUUAAAGCAUGCCAAUGUUCUCUACAAGGAUUGCAUGAGUACCGACUCAACCGGCUCAUGGAAUAUGCCAAUCUGGUCUUGUACAAUUCGUAAUGUACAUUAAGCUUCCAACUAUUUGUGUGUAUUCUAAUGGUUACACACUUUCUCCAUAGUUCUUUGAAAGCUUACACACACACACUCAAAGCCUAUUAACACAUAUAUCAAGUGAAUACAUAUAAAGGCUAACAUCAAAACUAUUUUUCCAAUGUGGGAGUCUCCCACAUUCUCCAACANNNNNNNNNNNNNNNNNNNNNNNNNNNNNNNNNNNNNNNNNNNNNNNNNNNNNNNNNNNNNNNNNNNNNNNNNNNNNNNNNNNNNNNNNNNNNNNNNNNNNNNNNNNNNNNNNNNNNNNNNNNNNNNNNNNNNNNNNNNNNNNNNNNNNNNNNNNNNNNNNNNNNNNNNNNNNNNNNNNNNNNNNNNNNNNNNNNNNNNNNNNNNNNNNNNNNNNNNNNNNNNNNNNNNNNNNNNNNNNNNNNNNNNNNNNNNNNNNNNNNNNNNNNNNNNNNNNNNNNNNNNNNNNNNNNNNNNNNNNNNNNNNNNNNNNNNNNNNNNNNNNNNNNNNNNNNNNNNNNNNNNNNNNNNNNNNNNNNNNNNNNNNNNNNNNNNNNNNNNNNNNNNNNNNNNNNNNNNNNNNNNNNNNNNNNNNNNNNNNNNNNNNNNNNNNNNNNNNNNNNNNNNNNNNNNNNNNNNNNNNNNNNNNNNNNNNNNNNNNNNNNNNNNNNNNNNNNNNNNNNNNNNNNNNNNNNNNNNNNNNNNNNNNNNNNNNNNNNNNNNNNNNNNNNNNNNNNNNNNNNNNNNNNNNNNNNNNNNNNNNNNNNNNNNNNNNNNNNNNNNNNNNNNNNNNNNNNNNNNNNNNNNNNNNNNNNNNNNNNNNNNNNNNNNNNNNNNNNNNNNNNNNNNNNNNNNNNNNNNNNNNNNNNNNNNNNNNNNNNNNNNNNNNNNNNNNNNNNNNNNNNNNNNNNNNNNNNNNNNNNNNNNNNNNNNNNNNNNNNNNNNNNNNNNNNNNNNNNNNNNNNNNNNNNNNNNNNNNNNNNNNNNNNNNNNNNNNNNNNNNNNNNNNNNNNNNNNNNNNNNNNNNNNNNNNNNNNUAUAUAUAUAUAUAUAUAUAUAUAUAUAUAUAUAUAUAUAGUCAUUAAGAUGACCAAUGUACCCUUAAGUUCUUCUUUUUUUCUUUAGUUUUUUUUAAUUUGUUUUCAUAGGUAUAUAUACGGGUAAAUUAGUAAUCUUAAUAGAUAUAUAUUAAGUCAAAUUAGUAAUCUUAAUAGGUAUACAUACUAAUCUUAGGUCGGGAUAGAAAUAUGAGAUACCAAUAUGAUAUUUUUAAAACUAGAUAUACCAAAGUUUAUAAAAAGCAAAAGUUCGUAUACCAUUCAGACGAAUUUUUCAAACGAUUAUAAGAUUAUAAGAAAAAAAGGGGCGGAUCCGUGACAUACAAGAUUAUAAUCAAAAUUAUGACCAGAACAUCAACCAUUAGAUCUAAUAACAACUAACGGUUGAGAUUAGUCAUAAAAACUAAAAACAAUUUAUGUUCUUUUCUUUUUCUUUAAAACAAUCAAUGAAAUCUAUCUAUUAAAAACAUAAUGAAUAUUGAUGAUUACCUACUCUCAUUUUAAUUGGAAUACAAUUAACAGGAAGGUAAUGAUUUUCAUUUGAUUUGAAACUCGUUUACUAUAAUGUACCAUCAUCAUCUAUGUUAUAAACUAAGAAUGAGAUAGAGAGAAAAGAGAAGAACAAAAUGUAGGAGAAGGAAGAAGUGUCACUUUCAUUCUCAUUAGACUCCUUUAUAUAGGAGUAUGAUUUACAUUUUAAGCACAUAAGUAAUGAGUAUUUACAAGGACAUCCACAUAUAUUAUAAUAUUUACAACACUCCCCCUUGGAUGUCCACCAAUAAAUGAUAUGGUGUUGGACGCGCUUAUUUGUUGUCUCGUUAAAAACCUUGCCAUGUAAUAAAAACCCUGUGGGAAAAAACAACCCUGAUCGAAGGAGAAAAAGAGUGCAACGCGCAUAUGUCCUAAGUAGCAUACUUCUGGAUGCUCCCCCUGAUAAGAUUCUCCCCCUGAUUGUUGCAAGUUUCAUGUACCAUAAAUAUCGGUUUGAUUUGUCUAUCAUUGAAGUGAGAUCUUGUUCGUUUUACAUAUAGGGCUCAUUGCAAAAUUUUCGUACCUGCAAAAUGAAAACAAUACCAACAGAACUAUACAACUUUUAAUUAGUCUUACCUCAUGUUCAAAUUUAUACAUUAUGUAAUAACUAAGCAGUAGAAGCUAAUUAAUUAACACAUUACUAUGUAUGGUUCAAACCAUUGGAAGAUCAGCAUGGCAUAUCUAGCCACUCAUAUCAAUAUCUCUGUUUAUUGGUACAUCUCGUAUAUGCUCUUCAAGAGCUCUAAGCAAUUCAUAACUUCGCGAAAGUUAGAAUAUGUAGCAACAUAAUCCGAAUUCGAUUUUGUAGUCCAAUCAUAAUACUCAUUGAGGCAAUUUUGAUCACGUUAACUAUAACAGAAUGAGUAUAGAUGAGCUAGCUUUAGACUAUUAAUUGCAUGAGUUAACUUUAGUUUAACAGCCCAGCAUAACAAGAGAUAUGCUCGCCUUUAGGCCUCCCCCUCAUGCCUUUCUUCUUGGGUUCCAACCCAAGUCACAACUCACUAAUGGGAGUUAUGUUUGCAUGUAUAAGGCAUAUUACGUCAUUUCCCUUAGGCAUAUUACGUCAUUUCCCUUAGGCGAUAAGGAAUCUCAUAUUCAGACUCUCUCAAGUAUUCAUGGAUCGAUUUACGUUCGAAUCAUUCAUGUACUUGGAUACUUUAAGGAUUUGAUAAGCGAUACACUUAUAACGACGCUUCACUUUUGGGAAGUCUUUUAAGAUCCUUAUAAUAUACGAUGACAACUGCCGUAAGUCUCUCGUCAAUAAAUAUAUGUAACACUGUACUUACAGAAAAUUGUCACGUAUAAGGAAAGAUAUUCGUAAUCCCCAUGUCUCUUGUAGACAUUGUGCCAUAGUGAUUUAUUUUCAUUGUGAUUAAUACCUUUUUUGUAUCAUGUAGGGUUAAAGGUUUAAGCAUCUUAUCACGUUUCAGAUAUUCAGUUUAAUUUGAAUUGCCUCUAUCUAAUUUGGCCAAUAAUAUGAUUUGUCGACAUUCAUAAUAAAACGUGGUAUUGCAUCAUACAAUCCUUAAUGGUCUUUGGUAGCUACCAUAUGCAAAUUUUCAUUGAUGAUCAUCAUUUAUAGAUCUCACACAUUCUUAUAUGCAUGCAUUAGUUACUAUGAGCUUAUUGAUAUUGGGUACCCAUGCCACUUCUGGGGCAAAUAUUGUCACUUCUACGACAAACAUCUCUCAUAGAUGAAUUAUAUCUAACGAAUGUGGAUAUAUAUUCAUAAUAUCAUAAUACAUUAUAGGAUCUGUAUAAUCUUCCAUUUUCAAGAGCUUAAAACUUUAGACCUAGUGGAUACAUUCCACUCAGAUUCACGCCGUUAUUCAAAUGACAGUAGUCUUUUCUCUCCCCCUAAUGGCGGGAAUCGAACACUGUCUUAUCAUGACCAAGCAUAAAUAUACGUUUAAAUGUCUAUCACAUCUUUUCGAGUAAAGAUGUCCAUUGGCUGGUGGCGAACCCAAACCAAGUGUAAGGUCAAAAAUAUUAAAUUCAUGAGUAUCAACCAUAUGGAUGUAUUUUUGUAUGACCAAGAUAUCAUCAUCUAAUGGUGUACUUUUAACCUUUGUAUGUGUAAUAUUGUAGCCGCUAUAUUAGGAACUUGAACAUUUUUAAUGACAUUCUCGUCAUGAGAACCAUGUCACGUAGAUACACAUUCCUCCCACAAAUCAAAUGGGGUCAAGGUUGUUUUGUUAAUAUGGUUAGUCUCAUAGACUUUAACCCAAGCAAGUGUUUUUGUGCUAACAUAUAGUUUUGUCAUCACUAGCUUUAAUAAAUCACUAGCUGAGAUAUUUCUCAAGCUCAAAAUAAGACAGUAGGUAAAUAUUACACAACAAUUCAUUUGUUCUUCAAAAAUAAUAUUUCUCCCCCAUAUAACAAGAGGAGUGUCUCAUUAAGGUGAUAACCCAAAACAGAGAUGAGGCAAAUGAACAAUUUGCUCAAAGUAGCGUUACCUAGUGGUCAUCAAGAGUUGUUACUGAUUCCAAGUAACACUUUAUGUAAAAUAUGACGUAACUAGUCAUGCCAAAAUAAUGUAAAUUUUGUUCAAUGAACUGUUGUUUCAUGACAUUUUGUGUCUCACUUUACUAUAGAAUUUGACACGUAAUAGGCCGCAUAGCGAGAUACUGUGUGCUUUGGAUCUCGCCUCACAAUUUUGUUCUUGGGUUGCAACCCAAAAUGCAUCACAAUAUAGGGAGGUAUGUUUGCAUAUUAGACACAUCUCCUGCCAUCCCUUGGGUGAGGUAGGACCUCACAUCACAGUAUGUGUUAUAUAAUCUGGGGACAUUCUGGAGGCGCGCACUUAAUGUAAAAAUGGGAUAGUAUGUGCUCUUCCAAAGCCAUCAUUCAUAUAUAUAAUCGAAGCUUCAUGUCCGAUUUUAUAAUGGUACGUAGAACUACAAGUUCUUAGAAUGUUAACUGCAAGUUAAUGUUGCUCGAAACUUCAGGCUUGAGUAACUCAAGUGAAACGUCAAAUUCACUUUUAAGUCAUUGAUAUUUUAUACUCAAAACUUCGGUUUGAGUUUCUGCUGUUAGAACCUCGGUAACUCUUAUGAAAAUUUUGAAAAAUAUUUCACUUGAAAAUUAUAUGUUUGAGAUAUAGGAUUGUUAGCCCUUAUGAUUAACAAUAAAGUUUAGUAUAGGAAAAUAAUUAACAAAUUCUAAAAUUGUAAGGAACAAGAAUAAAAAAAAAUGUGACAAUGGAAACUUCUGGUUCCAUAAGAAGUACAAGAACUUCUAGUCUAGUUACCUUCACGAAUAUGAUAAUCUUGUUUCUCUCCUCUAAUUUCACAACAAUGUUGUAUCAAAAUAAAUAGGAGCUUCAGGUCCUCAUAUAAUUAAGGAUGAUAAGAAAACCAUAUUGUAUAACUCUGAGGAGCUUCUGGUCCUUGUUAAUUGCAUAAGAGGGUCUAAUUACCCAUUUUCAUUGAGAACAAGCUUGACAAAGAAUGUCGCUUGAAAAAGUUAUAUGUUUUGUCAACAAUGGAUGACCAUUGGAAUUUGUAUAAAAAUAUUCUAUAUAUCAUUAUAUAUCUAGAGUGACUUAAACGAUCAUGCCAAAGCAUAAAUGUAUCGUUGUCCUUGAACUUCUGGUUCAUGACAUGACAUGUCUCAAUAGACUUAAUGGUUGUGUAAUAUAAACCAAAUAAUAGGCCAACCAACCUUUUCAAUACGCGGCUUUGGCUGAUAAUAUAGGAAGUAAUGAAAACAUAUGCCACAUUCUUGACGUUGGUGGUCCAAACAUGAAAUCCAUUCAAACAAAUAUCCUUGAAACUUAGGAAAUUCCUUCUUGGUCUAGGAAUUUGGAAGACUAAUGUGGGCUCUUCCGGAGCCUUCAACCGAAUUGGCAAUACCAUAUAUGGUGGUCACCUUAGUUUAAGAAGGUACUCAGAUGGAGAAAAUUUCCGAUCACGAAGGAUUAUAUGUGUGGAGGCAUUGUCAGCAAGACAAAUAUCUUCUCCAAUUUUAAAUUGAGCGUGUUCAUGAUCCAUGUUCAUAACUUCAUAAUAAAAUAAGAUAAAAUAUAAGCAACAAUAGAAUAUAUUACCGCAACAAAUGAAAUUAAACGUAAUAAUACGAUAACUAUCAUCAAUGAAUACCAGUCCAGAAAUUCAUAGAUUAACACUAGUCCAGGAAAAACAACUAUGUUGUACCGUUACUUUUCCUAUCAAAAUAGAGUGAGAUGAAGAAGAUAACUAAUUGACUCGUAAAGAUACGAUAAGCUCCGCUAGAAAUUUAGUGGAAAACAAACCUUUAUAUGUACACUUUACCUGAUCGUCAGUUACUAGACCAAAGCCAAUAAUGAGGAAAUUAUUAGAUGCAAAGCAUGUUACGCGUUGGAAAGAGAAGAAUAAAAUUUUGUUUUAUUAUCACAUAAUAAAAGUGAAAUUAAGAACCGUCAUUAAUAAGAGUAAUUUACACAAUAGUGAGAUAAUGGUGAUAGAAAUCAUGGUAAUAAAAAAACUAUUAAUAACAACCCCGAAUAAUAAAAAUGGUAAUUUGAAGAGUCAUUAAAAAAAUAACUGAUCACAUGAUGGUAGUAAACUGAGUUAAUUAUUUUAGUAACUCUCACAUUAAAUCAAUAACUCACACAUCAAUUCAAUAACUCCCACAUAAGGUAAGUAAAAGAAUGGUAAUAGUCUCAUUAACAUGGUUGCAACUUGCAACUAAUGUUCAUUACUACAACAAUAAUAGCUAUAAUCAAAUAUCAUCAUUUGUUGAUCAUAUCAACAUGUUUCUCAUUGUCCACGAAUUGUCCAGAUGGAUCUCAAUGAGACUGUUAGUAAGUAUGAGUGAAUGUUACUCAUAAACAUGGGAGCCCCAAUGGUUAGAAAAUGCUCCAUUUGGUGUAUGUUCGAACUGAUUCAAGCUAGGUUACUCGAAAAGUUGGCUUUGACAAAAUGAUAAGACUUUGUUUACACAAGCCACUGCUGUUACAGUUUUUGGAUUACAAGACAUUGAUUCUUUGUCCCAUAGAUAUUGAACUUAAUUAAUUGGAAGAACUGAAGAUUGAAAAAGAUAUAUAUGUAAGUGUUGGGAGAUCGAGUACGUUGUUAUGUAGAUAAUUCAGUUGAAUUCUCAAAUUCUGCAUAGAGUUGAGUAUUGAUAGGAUCAGUAACAUGUUUUCAAUAGUCUCUCAAACGUUGAUUAUUUUGUUAUUAAUUAGACAUCAAUCUGAUUCCUAGACUGGUAGAUUAAUAUCUUGACUUUGGCUUACAAAAUCAUCGGAUACAGUUAGUGAUGUGGCCGGAGAGGUUGUCGAGAUUGGACAGGAAGUUCGAAAGUUCAAAGUGGGCGACAAAGUUGUGGCGAUUCUCAGCCUCUAUGUGAGUGUUCUAAUCUUCCUUCAGAGCUUAACGGUUCCUAGGCCGGCUGAAGUUUCAGCAGCUGAAGCUGCAGGGUUACCUGUUGCUGGAAUCACAGCUCACAAGUGUCUUACUGAAGCAGCAGGAAUCAAGCUGGACAGCACAGGCCCGGCGAAGAACAUAUUGGUUACUGCUGCCUCUGGAGGUGUAGGACACUAUGCAGUCCAACUAGCUAAGCUGGGAAACCAUCAUGUCACAGCCACUUGUGGAGCUCGUAACAUUGAUUUCGUCAAGAGCUUAGGCGCUGACGAGAUUCUUGACUACAAGACUCCUGAAGGGGCAGCCCUGAAGAGCCCUUCUGGUCGGAAAUAUGAUGUUGUGAUCGACUGUACAACGGGCAUUCCCUGGUCCAUUUUGAAGCGGAAUUUGAGUCCAAAUGGAAAGGCCGUAGUCAUUACAUUCGGGCCAAAGGCUGUGCUUACUUUCGCUCUACAGAAACUCACCUUCUCCAAGCAGAAGCUGGUGCCAUUGCUGGUGUUUCGCAAGGCUGAGAACCUGGAAUAUCUUGUUAAGUUGGUAAAGGAAGGAAAGUUGAAGACGGUGUUUGACUCGAGGCAUCCUCUGAGCAAGGCUGAAGAUGCUUGGGGUAAGAGCAUCGGCGGCCACGCUACCGGGAAGAUCAUUGUGGAACCUUAAGUACGUAGUUGCACAAUCUAUUCUUUUUGUAUAAUGUAUACUUCAUGUACUUGAUUGAUGUUGUGGUUUCCUGUUGAUGGUUGGUAUGCGGAGUAGGAUCUGAGAGUUCAUAAUGAUUGUUUUCUUUGUUGUAUGGGAAUAUAUAGUUUUGUAACGAUAUUUGAUUUCAUAAUGAUAUGGUCUGGAUUUUACCGUCCAUUUUGUUUGCUCUUUGUGCAUGCAUGGUAGAAUACAGAGCCAUAAAUGUCAAUUUGGUACUCUUAACCUAGGGCACAAAUUAUCUAUAUGUUCCUAUUUUGUCAAACAUAUUCUCCCUUGAGCAAACUUUGCUGUAGAUACGAUAUGAUAUAUAUGAAAAAGUGCUCUUCCUAUGUGCUUCCAACUUAAUUGAUUUCUUUGUCAAAUAAGACCGUCUUGCUGAUUGAUUUGGCUUAGUCUCAUCCUGCUCCUUAAUUUGGUUUGUGUUCUCAGCGUUCCAUUUGGUAACCUAAAAGUGGGCGUCUCUCGUGGUUUUGUUUUGUAUCCUACAUAAAGAAAAUUUGAUUUCUCUGGAUGGAUACUGUAGUCAAGAGUCAAGACUUUUCCUUAUCCAAUUGCAUGUUAAUGCACAAACGCUUCGUAGUGCUCCACAAAAUCUAAGACGAGCUUUCAACUUGUGCCAGCUCUCGUUCAAUUGAAGCUGACUAACUACCAAUGACUAUGCAUGCACUUCAAUACGUAUUAUGAUUAUGGUAGAGGACCUUCAGGAUUGCCUUUGGUCCUCAUUUGCUUCAGUUUUCACAAGCUGACCCCAACUUAUUUGAGAAUGAGAAUUUGACAUAUAUCAAAGCUCAACGAUUUGUGUGUGAUCAUAGAAAUGUCAAGGAUGAAAAUUCAAAGACACGUUUCUUUUCUGCUUUUCUCUUCUUUGCUUAGGCUCAGAGGUUGAGGCUGUGGCUGUGAAUGAUACUUGGGAGUCUGACACUUUGUUAUGUCGAUUUGAAAUCCAAAAUGUUGUGCUUGAAUGAUAUAAAUCAUUAACAUUGAAAAGUAUAUGAAUGAUAACUACAAGUUACGCGUAUCAGUCUAAGAAAAUACCAAUUGUGAUACCAUGCAAAAAAUUGAAAGGAACCAAUUAAUGAAUAUACCAUGGUUAUUAUAAAACUCGAAGUCGUUCUGCAAAUCUGCAAACUUACACUCUUCUCUCUCUGCAAAUGAAAGCCAUGGCGGUAAAGGUUAUGCGUGCGGUUCAGUACAACAGUUACGGUGGAGGACCUUCUGGUUUAAAGGUUCGUUAUUAAUUUUUCUGCUUCUUUUCUUUCUGGCUUUAUAGCCACAGUUGGGGGUUGAAUUGAAGUUUGUGAAGAGAGGCUUAAUUUGUUUGGUGUCCAGAGUAGGAUGAUACUGUUUGUUUCUUGUUGCAGCAUGUUGAUAUUCCGGUCCCAACUCCAAAGAAAGAUGAGGUUUUGCUGAAAGUGGAAGCAGCUAGUAUAAAUCCAGUUGAUUGGAAGCUGCAGAAAGGCACGGCGCGGCCUUUUUACCCUCGCAGUUUACCUCAUACACCUGGUAACUUUCUUGUUCAUGCAUUUAAAAUUUGAGUGAAUGUGCUUGAUUAAAUAAGUUGAGAGUACUAAUUAGUUCUUACAGUACUGCUUCGGGAUAAAAAUUAUAGAAUUGAAUACUGGAAAGGAUUGUCAACAUGUUUUCAAUAUAACCUCGAUCUCAUACUCGCAUUGAUUAGCUUGUUAUUAGACAUCUAGCUAUGUGAUUCUUAGUCUGCUAGAUUAUUUUAUUGAAUUUGGCUGAUGAAACUAUCGGACACAGCUUGUGACGUAGCCGGAGAGGUUGUCGAGGUUGGACAAGAAGUUCGUGAUUUCAAAGCCGGCGACAAAGUUGUCGCAGCUCUCACCCUUGCUGUAAGUGCUCAUUUUGGUAACAUUCAACUUGUUCAUUUUGGUAUCAUUGAUUUCUUUUAUGCUGAUUUCAUCCAUGCUUUACUUUAUAUAUGUUAAUAGACCGGAGGUGCAUUUGCCGAGUAUGCAACUGCUAGUGAGCGUUUCACGGCUAUUAGGCCGGCUGAAGUUUCAUCAGCCGAAGCUGCAGGAUUACCUGUUGCUGGUCUCACAGCUCACCAAUGUCUCACAGAAGCUGCAGGAAUCAAGCUGGAUGGCACAGGCCCUCAGAAGAACAUAUUGAUUACGGCUGCCUCUGGUGGUGUGGGAACCUUUGCAGUUCAACUAGCCAAGCUAGGAAACACUCAUGUCACGGCCACUUGUGGAGCUCGUAACAUCGAUUUCGUCAAGGGCUUAGGUGCUGAUGAGGUUCUUGACUACAAGACCCCUGAAGGGGCAGCUCUGAGUAGCCCUUCUGGUAGGAAAUAUGAUGCUGUGAUCCACUGUGCAACAGCCAUUCCUUGGUCUACUUUCAAGGCAAAUUUGAGUCCAAGUGGGAAGGUCAUAGACAUUAGUCCCAGGCUAAGUAACUGGCUCACUAUGGCUGUAAACAAACUCACCUUCUCCAAGAAGCAGCUAGUGCAGCUGAUGGUGAAUCCCACUGCUGAGAAUCUGGACUAUCUUGUUAAGUUGGUGAAGGAAGGAAAGCUCAAGACGGUGAUCGACUCAAAGUAUCCUCUGAGCAAGGCUGAAGAAGCUUGGGCUAAGAGUAUAGAUGGUCAUGCUACUGGGAAGAUCAUUGUGGAGCCUUAAGUAGUUGCGCAAUCUAUUCCUUGGUAUUGUAAACUGUAAUUCUAGGUUUCUAAGUUUCUAUUGAUAUAUAUGAUGGAUGGUCUGUGG
rnacentral:lncRNA from 1 species